UCCCCGCCGGACACCAUGCUGCCCCGACCCGCGCCGCGCCGCCGACAGCCCUCCCGGCACGGCAGGGACCGCCCCGGCCCGCCCCGGGAACGCCCGCCGGGGCGGGGCCGCCAUUUGAACGCGGGGCGGUGGCAGCGGCGACCUGCAGGGUCAGUUACCUUUCUGUGUAUCAGCCCUGAGGUUGUCAUGAGUGACUUGCCCCUGCUGUUUAUGGCUGGAGCAAACACUGUGGAAGAGCAGAGGGCUCGCUGGGAGAGGAAGCGCAGCCGGACAGCUAAGGAGCUGCUGGAAACUGAACACAGAUACCUUGAGCAGCUGGAUUUGGUGGUCACAUUUUUUGUGACAAUUUUAAAGGCCAAAGGGACACUGAAACCUGCUGUGUUGGAAACCAUAUUUGGACCCCUGGAAUCCAUAUGUUCGGCCAGCCAUGUUCUGGCACUUCACCUGGAGAGAGGGAACCUGGGACCAGGACUGGAAAAUUUCUGUCAGAAUCUGGAACUUUAUGCCCACUACAUUGAGAAUUUGGAGCAGGCAAAUAAAACUUUGAAGGAGCAAUUGAGGAAAAAUAAGUCAUUCCGACGGUUUAAGAAACUCCAAGAGGCUCGACCUCAGUUUCAAGGGAGGAGGCUAGAGGAUCUGCUUCCUUUGCCCCUGCAGAGGCUGCACCAGUACAAGCACUUCCUCAGAGACUUGCUGGAGAAUACGAACCCAGACAGCCCUGAGUACCAGAAACUUGCAAAGGCUGUGAAAUCUGUUUCUGAGGUAUCUCAGUGGGUACAAGACAUCAUUCAUAAGAGAGAGAACUCAUUGCAGCUACUUCGUGUUCAGAAACUGCUGAAAGGAAAGAAGAUACAGAUUUUGACUGCAGGGCGCUGGUAUGUCCGGGAAGGCUGGCUUUUGGUGGUGCCUUCGAAGGGAGAAGAACUGAAGCCCAGGAUGUGCUUCCUCUUUUCUGAUAUCUUCAUUUCAACAAAGCCCUGUCACCCACUGCACCCACUGAAUUCAAACAAACUGGCAUGCCAGGCUGUUUACCCGCUUCACCAGUGCGUAGUGGAUAAGGUGUUUGGUCACACAAAGAGCCAGGGAGGGCUCCUCAGCGCCAUCCUGAGCACUCUGGGGUACAGAUUGCUGGUUACUUCACCUAGCUUUCCUUUCCACACAAGACACUGUUGUUGAUGUCCAGUGACCAACAAGAUAUUAAUGACUGGUAUCAGAGUCUUGCAGCUGCAGUCAGGCAGCUGAAAGCCUGACCCACUCCAGUAGAAGACAGACUGUCAGGACAGUCGCCUCUCUUUGUAGAAACCUACACAAUCUUAGGAAAUGUUCAAGGACAUAUAAUAAGAGAAUGCAUUUAUAGGGACUACCACUGUGCUUGUGAGACUGAAUGAAUGCUUUGUCAGCUGUCCUAAUCUUAACACAGAUACUGAAAAAAAUAGAUAUGCACACUGAGGAUUUGUAUAUAAAAAAUCUGUAUCAUGACUUUUCCCCAGUUUAGCUUACAAGCUUCUAGCUCUUCUAUGCUUAUUCCCCACCCCUCUUACAUUAUUAAGGACAAGCGUGAGAAAGUCUGACUUGCUUUCCCUCAUUAAAUAUUUUUAUCCAUCUGUGUUUCUAAA